AACUCGCCUACAUGAAGUCGGAAUUGCUAGUAAUCGCGGAUCAGCAUGCCGCGGUGAAUACGUUCCCGGGCCUUGUACACACCGCCCGUCACACCAUGGGAGUCGGUAACACCCGAAGCCUGUAGUCUAACCGCAAGGGGGACGCAGUCGAAGGUGGGAUUGAUGACUGGGGUGAAGUCGUAACAAGGUAAC
rnacentral:rRNA from 1 species